AGAGUUUGAUCAUGGCUCAGGACGAACGUUGGCGGUGCGCUUUAUGCAUGCAAGUCGAGCGAGAAGCGUUGGUUCCGUAAGGUUCCGACGUGGAAAGCGGCGAACGGGUGCGUAACACGUGAGAAACCUGCCCCCCAGACCGGGAUAGCCCAGGGAAACUUGGAUUAAUACCGGAUAUUCUCUUUGGAUCGCAUGAUCCGUUGAGGAAAUGGUCCGCUGCUGGGGGAUGGUCUCGCGGCCUAUCAGGUAGUUGGUGAGGUAACGGCUCACCAAGCCGAAGACGGGUAGCUGGUCUGAGAGGACGAUCAGCCACACUGGAACUGAGACACGGUCCAGACUCCUACGGGAGGCAGCAGCAGGGAAUAUUGCACAAUGGGCGAAAGCCUGAUGCAGCGACACCGCGUGCGGGAUGAAGGCCUUCGGGUUGUAAACCGCUUUCAGGAGGGAAGAAAAUGACGGUACCUCCAGAAGAAGGCCCGGCCAACUACGUGCCAGCAGCCGCGGUAAUACGUAGGGGCCAAACGUUGUCCGGAAUUAUUGGGCGUAAAGGGCUCGUAGGCGGUUCAGCAAGUCGGUCGUGAAAGCCCGGGGCUCAACUCCGGGAUGCCGGUCGAAACUGUUGUGACUUGAGUUCGGUAGAGGUGAGUGGAAUUCUCAGUGUAGCGGUGGAAUGCGCAGAUAUUGAGAGGAACACCAUUAGCGAAGGCGGCUCACUGGGCCGAUACUGACGCUGAGGAGCGAAAGCGUGGGGAGCAAACAGGAUUAGAUACCCUGGUAGUCCACGCCGUAAACGAUGAACACUAGGUGUAGCGGAUUUAUUCAUGUCUGCCGUGCCGUAGCUAACGCAUUAAGUGUUCCGCCUGGGGAGUACGGCCGCAAGGCUAAAACUCAAAGGAAUUGACGGGGCCCCGCACAAGCGGCGGAGCAUGCGGCUUAAUUCGAUGCAACCCCGAAGAACCUUACCUGGGUUUGACAUCAUGGGUCUAGCUGUGGAAACACAGUGUGCUUACGCGCCCAUGACAGGUGGUGCAUGGCUGUCGUC
rnacentral:rRNA from 1 species